UGAGUCAUCAGCAGCAGGUUGUGUUGCUGAAGCUGAGUAUUGUGGAGUCAUCAGCAGCAGGUUGUGUUACUGAAGCUGAGUGUUGUAGAGUCAUCAGCAGGUUGUGUUACUGAAGCUGAGUGUUGUGGAGUCAUCAGCAGCAGGUUGUGUUACUGAAGCUGAGUGUUGUAGAGCCAUCAGCAGCAGGUUGUGUUACUGAAGCUGUGUUGUAGAGUCAUCAGCAGCAGGUUGUGUUACUGAAGCUGAGUGUUGUAGAGUCAUCAGCAGCAGGUUGUGUUGCUGAAGCUGAGUGUUGUAGAGUCAUCAGCAGCAGGUUGUGUUACUGAAGCUGAGUGUUGUGGAGUCAUCAGCAGCAGGUUGUGUUACUGAAGCUGAGUGUUGUAGAGUCAUCAGCAGCAGGUUGUGUU